CUACGUUCCUCCAGCCCCACCACGUGUUCCCUCAAUCCUAGUCCCUCGUAUCUCAUCCACACUCUUGCUCUUGUGUAUGCGAGAUUGACAGACUGUCAGGAUUAUUGAUUGAUCCAGCAUGUAGAAUUGUAUCACACCUAGGACUAAAAGGUAAUGUCUUACCAGGACUUAGAAUGGCCGGACUGAAAAUGUACUUCUUUAGGAAAGCAUAUCAAUUAAACUGUGAACAG